rnacentral:misc_RNA from 1 species
GUAGGUGAACCUGCGGAAGGAUCAUUACUGAUUUGGCGGACCGAGCGUCAGCGAGGUUCCGCGAUCGUCUAUAUUUAAAACCCACACCUUGAAUUAUAUAUUUUUGUAUUUUUAAAUGAUAAAAUAAAAAAAGAUCACUUUCAACAACGGAUCUCUUGGCUCUC